UACAGAGGUCUCAAGCGUUGUUCGGAUUCAUUGGGCGUAAAGGGUGCGUAGGCGGCGCGGUAAGUCGGGUGUGAAAUCUCCGGGCUUAACUCGGAAAGGUCAACUGAUACUGUGCGACUAGAGUGCAGAAGGGGCAACUGGAAUUCUCGGUGUAGCGGUGAAAUGCGUAGAUAUCGAGAGGAACACCUGCGGCGAAGGCGGGUCUCUGGGCCGAUACUGACGCUGAGGAGCGAAAGCGUGGGGAGCGAACAGG
rnacentral:rRNA from 1 species